rnacentral:rRNA from 1 species
UACAGAGGGUGCAAGCGUUAAUCGGAGUUACUGGGCGUAAAGGGCGCGUAGGCGGUUAUAUAAGUGAGAUGUGAAAUCCCUGGGCUUAACCUAGGAACUGCAUCUUAUACUGUAUAACUGGAGUACUGUAGAGGGUAGUGGAAUUUCCGGUGUAGCGGUGAAAUGCGUAGAGAUCGGAAGGAACACCAGUGGCGAAGGGCAGACAUCCUGGCCUGUUCUUGACGCUGAGGCGCGAAAGCUAGGGGAGCAAACGGG